CGACACUAAGAUCCCGGGCUCGAGGGAUAAAUUGGCAUAGGCGGAAAGCUUCUGGAUGAGAUUGGGUGCAUGAUGAGAGGGGUUCAGCCACAUGGAGCACACAGAGGGGGCUUCAGACCCACCAGCACCAUUGUGGAUGAUGGGGUCUACCAGUCUUUGGCCUCAGUGUGAGCGUGUAUCGGGGAUCAAUCCAGCUGGAGGGGGAUUUGUGUCACCCAGGGUCGAUUCGACAUUGCCCGAAGAUGGACCCACCAGGGGGUUCGGUGCCCCCAGGGCCGAGUCCCACGAUAGGUUUAGCAAAUCAGAGGUUUUUGGCAU
rnacentral:lncRNA from 1 species